rnacentral:rRNA from 1 species
UGGCGGCGUGCCUCAGACAUGCAAGUCGAACGAUUAAAGCUCUCUUCGGAGAGUGUAUAGAGUGGCGCACGGGUGAGUAACACGUAAGUAAUCUACCCUCGAGUGGGGAAUAACAACCGGAAACGGUUGCUAAUACCGCAUAAUGCAGCGGCACCGCAAGGUGACAGUUGUUAAAGAUUUAUCGCUUGAGGAGGAGCUUGCGGCAGAUUAGCUAGUUGGUAGGGUAACGGNUUACCAAGGCUACGAUCUGUAACCGGUCUAAGAGGACGGUCGGUCACACUGACACUGAAUAACGGGUCAGACUCCUACGGGAGGCAGNAGUCGGGAAUUUUGGGCAAUGGGCGAAAGCCUGACCCAGCAACGCCGCGUGAAGGAUGAAGUAUUUCGGUAUGUAAACUUC